GUCACCGCGGUCUACUGAAACAUCAAUCAGAGCGCUCUCGGUCCCUGAACCAGCAAGCAAGGCACUUUUUGGAGGGUUGAAAGAGGGGACGAUGAGGCAUCCCCCGAAACCAAGAACUUGGGGGAGCUCGGUCACGGAAAGGGUACAUAAUUUAUUAUUGCACUAUGGAAUAUUGCUGUUUAUUAUAACUUGUGCAGUGCAUCAAUAAUUAGACCCCUGGCUAGAGGACAAAUGGCAGAGAGAAAUUGCUCUUUUGAUCAAAAGGGGCUUCUGCGAGGUGUGAAACAGAUUGCCCUUUUUGAUCUAUCAAAGAUCCUGCAAGGUGAGACAUUUUACACUUAAGUCGCCUGUAUGACUAGUUUCAAUGUAAAUUAACUGACUUUGACCAUAUGGCUGGAAACUCUUAAUUGAUAGUUCAAUCCUUUGAUAUGGUAAUGGUAUUAGUUUCAUG